UACGUAGGGGGCGAGCGUUGUCCGGAUUUAUUGGGCGUAAAACGCUUGUAGGUGGCUACGUCAAGUCGGACGUGAAAUCUCCCGGCUUAACUGGGAGGGGUCGCUCGAUACUGGCGAGCUCGAAGCAGGUAGGGGGAAGCGGAAUUCCCGGUGUAGUGGUGGAAUGCGUAGAUAUCGGGAGGAACACCAGUGGCGAAGGCGGCUUCCUGGACCUGUUCUGACACUGAGGAGCGAAAGCGUGGGGAGCGAUCCGG
rnacentral:rRNA from 1 species